rnacentral:lncRNA from 1 species
GCAUCUUCUUCUUGUCCCACCGUCAGGAUGCCGUGUGCCGGGGAGAGAGGAUUACUUUCCAGGCUGCCCCACAGAAGCGCCAUUGCCACCUUCUUCUAUCCUCCUCCGAAGGUUUAUUUGGUCUCUGUCCUUCGGGUUGGGGGGUUUCUCCAUAUUAGUUUAGUUCCAGAGCUGGCUGGACCCUCUGCGGGUUCCAGGCCCGUGUUAAGGGAAGGACAUCAGUGUGGAGACGGGGGGUACUGAGUGUGUCUGCAUGGGGCCAAGUGCUUUCUCCAGAUAAAAGCCACCCCAUGCAGGCAGGCGGGACAGGUACAGUCUUCAGUCACCCCUGCCUGCCGGACGGGGCUGGAGCAUUCCAGGCCUGGUUUCUCCAGAUGACACAGCCAGGCCUGGCAGCCUGUCCUUCAGGCCGGGUGGUCUCCUGCUGGGACAUGUGCAGGGCGGUUCCUCUGCACCCCUCCAGCAGCUGGAAGCCCAACGGCUGUCCUGGCUCUCCACUGCCCCGAGGGUGAGGGCUGAAAUUCCCCACAAGCCGGAGGAGGCCCAGGGCACAUGGUCCCUGGAUGCGAUGCCAGGUGACCUUUCUCUGCCUGGAGGCUUCUCCCCACCUCCCCCACCCCCACGCUGUCACAGGAAAUGCCCUCUUCCUCCUUCUCUAGGCUCAGCAAGGACGUGGGGGUCCUGGGGCGGCCUGCCCAGCCCCUGCCCCUCCCUGUGACCUGCUCUGUUGCCGGGGCAUGGGGCUGAUUUGUGUAUGGGGUGUGGGUUUCCCCACUGCUCUGGGAGGCCUGUCUCCUGGAUGCAGCACAGGUUAAUCACAACAGCUCUGGACUGAGUGAGGUGCCCGGCUGCCAGGCACCCUGGCGGCCUACCCCCAUGCCACACUCACUGCCUCUUUGCUGGGCGUUUGUCACGGGGAGGUGAGGCCUUGGCACACCUUGGGCUGGGGCGGGGACACAUCCUGCCCCACCAGAGUGGGAGGCCACUCCUGGACGAAGUUCAACCCCUGGCCCUAAGUGGGACUGGGUGGACCUUGUGCAGGUGGGAUGGGGGAGCCCCUCAGGGGAGAGACUCUGACAUUUCUGGGAGGACGCUCCAGGUGGCGGGUGCUGGGGAAGCUCGGCCGCCGGAGGAGACCUAGGGGCUUGGAGGGGACUGGGAUCCGAGGGUCAGCCCAGGCUGGGUGGGAUGCCCCAGGAUGGGCCAGGCCAAGCUGGUGGGCAUCCUGUGCCCUGUGGAGUCUGACCAGGUGCCUCUCUGUGAUAUUCUGGAUGCUCCUCUGGGGUUGAUUUCCCAGAUGCUCUCUCCCACCCUCUAGAGGGUCCUCGCUGAAGCUGCCUCUGUUGUUGCCACGCUUGUGCUGGGCCUGGGGGGUGCUGGGAUGGAGUGGGAAGGACGGUGCAGGCUCCCCACGUCAGAACCCUUCCUUGGUUCAGAGCAAGGUCUUGAAGGGUCGGGGCAGCAGCAUUUCCUGAAGCCUCAGAGAGGCAAAAAAGGUGAGCUUUCUAGGGCAGGAACCUUCCAGAAGUUUCUGAGGUGCCUCCACUGAGCAGGAGAUGGAUCAGGCCCUUUGGACUGUGAGCCAGAGCUUUUCUGUCCACAGAGAGUGAGGGGCUCCUGGGAACUCCAUGCCCGCAUUCUCCAAGGGUGUGUCCUUCCCUGGGAGUCCUGGGGUCUGUGGCAGUGGCGGGGGUGGGUAGGAUGAAUGAAUGUGUGGCGGGUGCAGCUGGGUGUGAAUGGCACAUGGGGCAGCCCUGCCCUGCCCACCUCGCCCUGGCCGAGGAUCCCUGCCCUGCGUGGGGCCCUCACUUUCUGGUGUGUAAACCUGGUCAGCCUGGACCUGAGAAGCCCCGGAAGUUUCCUCAGCAACCCCUUGUCCCUGCCUGGCCUUUAAGCUCCUUGGUUUGCCGUCGGGGAGCCAGUGCCAGCCGCCUACGCCCGCCUCUCCCCGCACAUAGAGAAGCACGUCCCCGCAUCCCUGUCCAGCUGGUCCCUGAGGACAGCAUCAGGCGCAGCCCUUCACUCGGGCGUGGCUGAGGAUGGUGCCGCCAGGAGAUGACUCACUCCAUCAAAUGUGCGGCAUUUGCCAUUUUUCUCACCAGGUGCUAUUUUUAAAACUCUGUCCUUUAGUUUCUGUAGUAAUUUUGAGCCUCUUUUUAAUAGAACUUCCAACUCUUUUGUGAAUCUUACGCUUGUUGAAAAUGAUGGGGUUAAAAAUGUUUGUUAAACCCAAA